rnacentral:rRNA from 1 species
CAUGCAGUUCGAACGAUGAUCCGGUGCUUGCACCGGGGAUUAGUGGCGAACGGGUGAGUAACACGUGAGUAACCUGCCCUUAACUCUGGGAUAAGCCUGGGAAACUGGGUCUAAUACCGGAUAUGACUCCUCAUCGCAUGGUGGGGGGUGGAAAGCUUUUUGUGGUUUUGGAUGGACUCGCGGCCUAUCAGCUUGUUGGUGAGGUAAUGGCUCACCAAGGCGACGACGGGUAGCCGGCCUGAGAGGGUGACCGGCCACACUGGGACUGAGACACGGCCCAGACUCCUACGGGAGGCAGCAGUGGGGAAUAUUGCACAAUGGGCGAAAGCCUGAUGCAGCGACGCCGCGUGAGGGAUGACGGCCUUCGGGUUGUAAACCUCUUUCAGUAGGGAAGAAGCGAAAGUGACGGUACCUGCAGAAGAAGCGCCGGCUAACUACGUGCCAGCAGCCGCGGUAAUACGUAGGGCGCAAGCGUUAUCCGGAAUUAUUGGGCGUAAAGAGCUCGUAGGCGGUUUGUCGCGUCUGCCGUGAAAGUCCGGGGCUCAACUCCGGAUCUGCGGUGGGUACGGGCAGACUAGAGUGAUGUAGGGGAGACUGGAAUUCCUGGUGUAGCGGUGAAAUGCGCAGAUAUCAGGAGGAACACCGAUGGCGAAGGCAGGUCUCUGGGCAUUAACUGACGCUGAGGAGCGAAAGCAUGGGGAGCGAACAGGAUUAGAUACCCUGGUAGUCCAUGCCGUAAACGUUGGGCACUAGGUGUGGGGGACAUUCCACGUUUUCCGCGCC